ensembl:lncRNA
UUUUUUUUUUGACUGUACCUGCAGCAUAUGGAAAGCAAUUGCUAGGACCAGGAAUCAAACCAAUGCCACAGCAGCGACCUGAGCCACAGCAAUGACAAUGCUGGAUCCUAACCCACUGCACCACCUGGGAAUUCCUCUUUUGCUUUUUAGAACUGAAUAUUUGGAAUUGUCUUUACAAAAACUACCUGUGCCUGAUUCUGAAAAUUUUGAAUUAGGUGCCUCUGAGAAUGAAUUUUCUUGCACUUGCAUAUGUUGGACGACUACCGAGUUUGGUCCACUGAGGUAUAGGUCUUUGGAGGUGAAUUUGAAGUUGUGUCACAUAGAUGUAAAUCCUGCUGGUCUCAGAGAGAAAGACGUGACUGACAGUGAGGCUUGCCUGGAGUGGCUGUAGUUGAAUUUUUAAUUCAUGAACAUAUUGUGGGGUAGGAUGCUGCAUUUGCAAAGCAUGACUGCAAGUGAAAUGAGGAUAUAAAUGCAGGUUAAUUACAUGAUAUUCACAUGGGACUGGAGCCUCCUUGGCAUUCUUUAGUGUCAUGCAUUUCCCAAUGGAAACAACAUGCAUUUUACCUCUAGGUAUCAAAUGAAAGUGACACAAAUGUACAGAUAACAUUGAUUCAUAAGUGUUCCUGCCAUGAUACAGUGGGUUAAGAAUCUGACUGCAGCAGCUUGGGUCACUGCAGAGGUGUGGGUUCAAUCCCCCUACCAGCGCAGGGAAUUAAAAGGAUCCAGGUUGCCACAGCUACGGUGUAGUUUGCAGCUGUGGCUCAGAUUCAACCCCUGGCCUGGGAACGUUAUAUGCCAUGGGUACAGCUCUAAAGUUAAAAACAAUAAAUUGAUCCAUAGUCUCUGUGUGUGAAGUUGGUGUGAAAUAUCAACUCCAAGAAUAGCUUAUCAGAAAUCUAACCCAGGUCAAUAUAACAGGCAUAUUGUUCCCCCAGUGGAUAUUUAAUAUAGCACAUGAGAAGAGGUGAUGUGCCUCAUUUAGACCAGGCUUCCUCGAGCUACAGGGCUGAAAAAGACUUUUAGAAAUGACCUGGUGUACCUCCCACCGACUGUUUAGUGGUUGACAAGUUUCCAGCAAAGUUGAGACUUAGAUCUGACUUCCCUUCCUUGGCUGUGUCUCUCCCUUUCCCUGUAGUCAGGGGACCAUCCCAUAAUCAGUCUUACGCAAUCCCCACUGAUGGCACAGCACAACUGAACUCACUGCCGUUGUUAGCACAGUUGCCAGGAAAUGACUCUCCAAAUUGCUCUCUAGGAUCGAUCUUAUACGAUACGGUGGGAAAAUCGCAAGACUAGGAAGUUGAAGUUGAGAAUGUGAGUGCAGGUGACGGGCUGCGUGGCCUCCGGCGAAUCGCCUACCUUCUCCGAACCUUAGUGGGUUCAUCUUUACCUGGGAAUGAUAGCCAUUCCCACCUCAGGACGCUGGUGAGACGACUGGAUGGUUUAAUAGGAGUGAACGCACUUGGCAAGCCACAACAGCCCUUACAAAGAUUCAGUCCUUAUUGUGAUCAUCAAAUACCAUUUAGUAAACCACCAAAGAAGCGCAGCAGGUCGCUGGGCCUUAAGCAAGGCAGGAAGCAGGGCAGACAGUGGACUGUACCCAUGUUAGGGGUUUAUCUCCUAAGGAGCCAGUUUUCACCAGCAGGUAAUCUUAUUUGCAAAGCUCAUUAAGUCAACCUGCCUCGGCAGUGAACCACCCCCGGCCCUUUCCCUGGUAACUUCUAGUAAUUUCUCCUCUUAGUAUUUUGAAAUAUUCUUACUCCUUAAGCACAGAGCCCUCACAUCGUCUAGGGAAGCUCUCUCCAAUACAAGUGCAACGCAAGCCAUGCUGUCAUUUUAAUGUUCUUGCAGUCACAUUUAAAAAGUAACAACAAAAAAAAGCAUCAGGGGAAAUUAAUUUUAAUAUAUUUUAUUUAAUCCAAUCUCUCCAAAAUGUUAUCAAUUCCUCAUACAAUCCAUACGAAAAUUAUGGAUGAGAUAGCGAUCAUGCUUUUUUUCCCCCUAAGUCCUCGAAAUCCCCUGGGUAUUUGACACCGACCGCACACCUCAACUGGGAAUAACUGCAUUUCACGAGUCAUGUGUCGGUGACAGCUACCAUAUUGGAAAGUCAUGCAGGUGUACAGCCUGGCAGGGUGACCACACUUACUGAUAAAACAGACUGAGACAAAUGAACUUGGAAACUCUCCAUGGAAACACUUAAGAAGAACACUGAAGAAACAAUCACAUCCUAGGACAGAGAUGGGGGAGGGAGCCCUAGCAACAGGAGUGACAGCCUAGCAACACCAGCUGUUGCACGAAAGGGAAAUUACAAAACCAUGACUUUGAAAAUAAGCAUCUCUUUGAAGGUCAUCUUUUUCUCUUUUGUUUAAGGUGAAGGAAGGACACGGAUAACCCAUCUACACAAAUAUACCUUUUAGAAGGCACCAUUUGCAUUAUCUCUUUAUCCCGCAACACAGAUGCUGACGUAUUUGGUCAUAUUGUAUUCCUAGUUCUCACUUAGACACACAGUAAAGCAUGAAAUCAGGCUGAGCCGAUUUCCAUGGUACAGCCUGUCUGGUGGUCCCCGCGGCUCACCGUGAGGAGCUGAACUGCACGGAGCUGACAGGUCAUCAGAAAUCUUUCCAUAUCACAUGAUGAAGCUACCCUGCUAACUCCUGGCCAGGGUCAGGUCUUGCGGGCCUGGGUGCCUUGUGCAUUUCCUUUACUUCUCCCUUGGUUCUUCUUUCCAGCGUAGACACAGAGGCUCCCUGGUCCAUCAGACUAAGAGCUGAGGGUGAGGAGGGUCCAGAACCUCACCUCCCAUCCACUGUCCUUGACACCCCAGUGGUGGGACGUCCUUGAUCACCCUCAAGGCUGCUGCUUUUUCUGAAAAGUGUGACUGUGGAUGCCACAGCCAGCCCAGCUCCACCUCUCUGAGCAGAGACAGCAGUACGUCUUUCUGGGUAAGAGCUGCUGCCCCCCUUUUCAUUCUCACUAUCUGGUGACUCUGAACCCAAUGCUGUCUUCAGUGUCCACCUCCAUUGGAAGGUCUGGUCCCUCUUCCUCUGCCCCUUGUCCACUCCAUCCCAAAUGACCAGAUGGCAAUGGCCUGAGUACAAUGUAAAACUAUGCAAGGAGGGGGUCAACGUGCUGGAUGAUCUGCCCGGGGGCCAGCUGUGAACAAUAAAACCACAAAAUAAUGGGGAAUUCCCUGGUGGCACAGCAGGUGAAGGAUCCGGUGUUGUUGCUACUGUGGCUCAGGUUCGAUCCCUUGCCUGGGAACUUACUUGUGCUGUGGGUAUGGCCAAAAUAAUUUUUUUAAUUAUAAAAUAAUGGAUUUUGAGUGACGGUCUUACUACAAGCUUUCAGUUUUUUUGGCAUGUGUGGCUUACCGUCCUGUCUAUAGGAGGCUCCCUGGUGUGUACCUGGGUGCUUUUCACUGUUAGUUUAUCGGCCGUGGUCCUGAGUGAGUGGACUGGCGAGAAGGCCAGUUACGGAGUCUGGUUCAAGCCUGUUUUCCAUGAGUGUCCAGCUCAGAAGAGCUUUACCAGAGCACUUCAGGUAAAAAGGAGCCCUCUCCUCUGUGGCAGAACAGAUGCAGCUCCACUUCUCAAACUUAAGCAUGCACCUCCCCCCCACCUGGGAUCCUGUGCCAAUGCAGGGAUGAUUCUGUGACCGAGUCCAAGGUAGUACCGCUCGCUGCACGACAGGCCAAUAAAUCGAGAGAGGCAUUGUUGGGACAAGGAAUCGUGAUUUCAUUCAAAAGGCCAGCAGACCAAGAAGAUGGUAGACUCAUGUCCCAAAGAACCAGCUUGUCUGAGUUAGAAUUUAGGCUUCUUUUAUACUAAAAGAGGAGAAAAUAAAGUCCAGCCUUUCUUGGUUCUGAUCAGCCUGUGGUGGGGAGGGAGGCAAGAGGGGGUAGUGUUAAUUUCCUCCUGCCUGCAGUCAUUCACCUGUGAGCCUGGUCAGGAUGUUUCCAGCAAGCUAAACAAAGGUAUUUGGAGUUCCCGUUGUGGCUCAGUGGUUAAUGAAUCCGACUAGGAAUCAUGAGGUUGCGGGUUCGAUCACUGACCUUGCUCAGUGGGUUGAGGAUCCGACGUUGCUGUGAGCUGUGGUGUGGGUCACAGACGCGGCUCAGAUCUGGUGUUGCUGUGGCUGUGGUGUCGGCUGGCGGCUAUAGCUCCGAUUAGAUCCCUAGCCUGGGAACCUCCAUAUGCCUCAGGAGCAGCCCUAGAAAAGGCAAAAAGACAAAUAAAUAAAUAAAUAAAAAUAAAAUAAAGGUAUUUUAGCUUAAUGCUCAUUCCUGGAAGGCCGGGUUCCCAGAGAUGGGCCAUCAUGUACCAUUUAUACUUUGGAAUAGAACCCAAAGGUUCCCCUUUGACAACUCAGUAAACUUGGGUGAGCCUGAGGUUCUGCAUUUCUGAGACUCUUCCAAGAGAUGGUGAGGCUGCUGGUUGCUGGCCCUACCUUGAGUUGCAAUGUCACUGCAUUGUCACGACAUAUUUUGGAGGUGUGAACCCAGCUUGCCUCCUUUCCUAGAUGGUAACCCUUCUGAGAGCUAUUCUUUAUUUAUUUUUUUCUUUUUCAGGGCCGCACCUGUGGCACAUGUAAGUUCCCAGCCCAGGGGUCCAAACAGAGCUGCAGCUGCCAGCCUAUACCACAGCCACAGCAACCCCAGAUCCAAGCCACAUCUGUGACCUACACCACAACCACAGCAACGCCUGAUCCUUAACCCACUGAGCAAGGCCAGGGAUCGAACCCACAUCCUCAUGGAUACUUGCCGGGUUUUUAACCUGCUGAGCCACAGCAGAAGCGCCAAUUGAGCAUAUUUUUUAAACACGUUAUCCUUCCUGUGAUUUUAAGCAGAUGCUUAUGGAAUCCAUGAUUGAAAAGUUAUCAUUGGUGACUUAUUUUAAGGGCAUUUCAUUCUCAGCAGCCAGCCACAGUGCUCAGGCAGUGAUUCAGGCAAUGGGCUAUUAAUGAAUUUGUAGGUGUCAACAGAGGUUUAGUGAACCUGCUGUCAACCCCAGCUCUCUGGCCUCCCCUCAGUGGGAUUAAAACUCAACCUCCGGUUUUAGGCCCUACUCUCAAUAUCCCACCAGCCAGAAGGCAUACAAUGAGGACACGGAUGAAACAAAUUUCCCGUCAGGUGUUCACUUGAAGCCUGGCUGUCACGGUUUGCUUUCCUGAUGAUCUCCUUGAUUUCAGAGUCUCCCCUUCCUUUACUAUUGUCAAGUUUGCCCCCGGUCCCUGCUUAGACUUCUGGUUCCUAACAUCUUCCCCUUUGCGAUGAUGUGCCCUGGCCUGGACCCUCCUCCAGUGGACUUCCGCCUACUUCUGACCUGCGUCCUAACGUGGGACUCAGGUCAAACCCCCUCUGGCUGCAGAACCCAUGGUGCC